UGUGUGGGGCACUCCUUCCUAGUGACGUUGCCCCAGUUCUCACACCCAUUGGGUGUCAGGUGAGACAGAAGCCAAUUAGGGUCACUGCACAACACAGUCUCCUAGCAAGUCUGCUGGACUCAGACUCCUUACACCCGGAAGAUGCGGGUCAUGAGGCCCCCAACUCUCCUGCUGCUCUGGGGGGCCCUGGCCCUGACCCAGACCUGGGCCGGCCCCCACUCCCUGAGGUAUUUCUACACCGCGGUGUCCCGGCCGUACCAGCUAAGUCCCCGCUUCAUCAUCGUGGGCUACGUGGACGACACGCAGUUCGAGCGGUUCGACAGCGACUCCGAGAGUCAGAGGGCGGAGCCGCGGGCGCCGUGGAUGGAGCAGGAGGAGCCGGGCUACUGGGACCUGAGCACCUGGAACGCCAGGGACUCCGCACACACUUUCCGAAGGAACCUGCUGAUCCUGCGCGGCUACUACAACCACAGCGAGGACGGGUCUCACACGCUCCAGUUGCUGUUGGGCUGUGACAUGGGACCGGACGGCCGCCUCCUCCGCGGGUACCACCAGUAUGCUUAUGAUGGCACCGACUACAUCGCCCUGAACGAGGACCUGCGCUCCUGGACCGCGGCGGACACCGCAGCUCAGAUCACCCGGCGCAAGUGGGAGGAAACUGGUGAGGCUGAGGAAAGGAGACACUACCUGGAGGAGGAGUGCAUGGAGUGGCUCAGGAGAUUCCUGGAGAUGGGGAAGGAGGCGCUGCAGCGCACAGACCCUCCAAAGACACACGUGACCCACCACCCCAUCUCUGACCGUGAGGUCACCCUGAGGUGCUGGGCCCUGGGCUUCUACCCUGCGGACAUCAGCCUGAGCUGGCAGCGUGAUGGGGAGGAGCAGACCCAGGACAUGGAGCUGGUGGAGACCAGGCCUGCGGGGGAUGGGACCUUCCAGAAGUGGGCGGCCCUGGUGGUGCCCCCUGGAGAGGAGCAGAGAUACACGUGCCAUGUGCAGCACGAGGGGCUGCCCGAGCCCCUGACCCUGAGAUGGGAGCCGUCUCCUUGGGCCAUCAUCCACACUGUGGGCCUGGUUGUGGGCCUGGUCAUCCUUGGAGCUGUGGUGCCUGGAGUUGUGAUGUAGAGGAGGAAGCGCUCAGGUGGAAAAGGAGGGAGCCAUGCUCAAGCUGCCAGCAGCGAUGGUGCCCAGGGCUCUGAUGUAUCUCUCACGGCUUCUGAAGCGUGAGGCACUUGUCUGGGCCUGAGUGAUGGGAGAUUUGUUCAUGCUCCCACUUUGUGAUUCAAGAAUCUCUGAGUUUCCCGACCUUUUGGUCCCGGGGCAGCUGCAGCGCAGAGCCAGCAGCGCCCACUCUCCUGGCUCCUCUCUGCACCUCUGCUCCGCUCAGCCUCGCUGCCACGAGGAAACAGGCCGUCUCCUUCACCAAGGACUUCCUGGCCGGAGGCAUCGCUGCCGCCAUCUCCAUGACCAGGGAAGCGGGUCAAGCUGCUGUUGCAGGUGCAACAUGCCAGCCAGCAGAUCACGACCAACAAGCAGUACAAGGGCAUUAUGGACUGCAUCCUGCGCAUCCCCAAGGAGCAGGGCGUGCUGUCCUUCUGGCAGAGCAACAUGGCCAACGUCAUCUGUUACUUCCUCACCCAAGCCCUCAACUUCGCCUUCAAGGAUAAGUAUAAGCAGGUCUUCCAGCGGGGCGAGGACAAGCACACCCAGUUCUGGAGGCACUUCGCGGGCAACCUGGCCUCGGGCGCCACCUCCCUCUGCUUCAUCUACCCCCUGGACUUCGCCCGGACUGGCUGGCGGCCGACGAGGGGAAAUCAGGCCCCAAGCGCCAGUUCAAGGGCCUGGAACCCUGCCUGGUGCACAUCACCAAGUCGGAUUGCAUCGGGGCAUGUACCAGGGUUUCAACGUCUCCGUGCAAGGCAUCAUCAUCUACCGGGCAGCCUACUUCGGGGUGUAGGACACGGCCAAAGGCAUGCUCCCCGAGCCCAAGAACACGCACAUCUUCAUCAGCUGAUGAUCGCCCAGUGGGUGAUGGCCCUGGCAGGCCUGGUGUCCUACCCCUUUGGAUGAUGAUGCAGUCGGGGUGCAAAGGAGCCGACAUCAUGUACACGGGCACCAUGGACGGCUGGCAGAAGAUCUUCAAGGACGAGGGCGGCAAGGCCUUCUUCAAGGGCGCCUGGUCCAACGUCUGAGGGGCAUGGGUGGGGCCUUUGUGCUGGUCUGAAGAAGGUCAUCUAGGCGCCCCGCCUGCCCGGACACGGGACCCCAGGGCCGCAGAGGCCCCUCACAGUUAUGGACCAUUAACCUUCCAGAAUUUCCAACGUCCCCGCCCGGCCAGAUCAUGGUAGCGCAGGGCGGUGCUCUAGGACGAAACCCUUCUGAUCAUGACCACUGACACCCCAUUCCGCGCCUCCAUGGGGAGGAGGGCACCCCCACGCCCUGCGGGGUCCCGGGCAGGGCCGCCCCUCCCCGCCUUGCGGGCCGCUGUGUGUAGCAUUUAUUUAAUGGAAAUCAUGCCACCAUCCAUGCUUUCCCGCUGUCCUCUCUGCACAGCUGAGUAUCCGCAAAUCCCUUCUCAGUCAGACAUUCCACAAACAAUUAAACCCAGACAAGGCGAAAAAAAAAAAAAAAAAAGAACCUCUGAUUUCUUUCUGCAAAGGGCA